ACCCUUCGGUAGUUCAUAACUGUGAUGGCUGACUGUUCAUACUGUGGUGACAUGUACCCCCUCAAACUCUGUUACAACCUUGGCACAUGACCCAUCUGGCA
rnacentral:snoRNA from 1 species